UGGGGAAUAUUGCACAAUGGGCGCAAGCCUGAUGCAGCCAUGCCGCGUGUGUGAAGAAGGCCUUCGGGUUGUAAAGCACUUUCAGCGAGGAGGAAGGUGGUGAAGCUUAAUACGUCAUCAAUUGACGUUACUCGCAGAAGAAGCACCGGCUAACUCCGUGCCAGCAGCCGCGGUAAUACGGAGGGUGCAAGCGUUAAUCGGAAUUACUGGGCGUAAAGCGCACGCAGGCGGUUUGUUAAGUCAGAUGUGAAAUCCCCGGGCUCAACCUGGGAACUGCAUUUGAAACUGGCAAGCUAGAGUCUCGUAGAGGGGGGUAGAAUUCCAGGUGUAGCGGUGAAAUGCGUAGAGAUCUGGAGGAAUACCGGUGGCGAAGGCGGCCCCCCUGGACGAAGACUGACGCUCAGGUGCG
rnacentral:rRNA from 1 species